GAGCUUUUUAAGAUUUGCAAAUUUUUUCCUGGUCAAAAGAUACUAAAAAGAAAAUAUCAAUGUAAGGACAGAAUGUUAGAGCUUCUACUGAGAACUGAAUCUGAAACUAAAAAUUAACUCCUUCAUGGCUUGGGUUCUGCUAAAACGCAUGAAUAGCUGUAUAGUUCAUAAAACACUUGACUUUCUCAAUACCCAGAAAAAAACCUUGAACUAAGGAUUGUAGGGGCUGUUCAAAAGAACAUCCCUCCAAAAAUAGGCGUAUGCCACUAUGAGUGACGAGC
rnacentral:lncRNA from 1 species